UACAGAGGGUGCAAGCGUUUGUUCGGAAUUACUGGGCGUAAAGCGUGCGCAGGCGGUUUUGUAAGUCUGACGUGAAAUCCCCGGGCUCAACCUGGGAAUUGCGUUGGAGACUGCAAGGCUAGAAUCUGGCAGAGGGGGGUAGAAUUCCACGUGUAGCAGUGAAAUGCGUAGAGAUGUGGAGGAACACCGAUGGCGAAGGCAGCCCCCUGGGUCAAGAUUGACGCUCAUGCACGAAAGCGUGGGGAGCAAACAGG
rnacentral:rRNA from 1 species